UACGUAGGGUGCAAGCGUUAAUCGGAAUUACUGGGCGUAAAGCGUGCGCAGGCGGUUAUGCAAGACAGAUGUCGAAAUCCCCGGGCUAAACCUGGGAACCGCAUUUGUGACUGCAUAGCUGGAGUACGGGCAGAGGGGGAUGGAAUUCCGCGUGUAGCAGUGAAAUGCGUAGAUAUGCGGAGGAACACCGAUGGCGAAGGCAAUCCCCGUGGGCCUGCACUGACGCUCAUGCACGAAAGCGUGGGGAGCAAACAGG
rnacentral:rRNA from 1 species